rnacentral:lncRNA from 1 species
AGUUAAGGCCUUUGUCCGUUGAGGUCAGGACUAGGUGGUCUCAGCCAAUGGGGACAGAGCGGUCACGGGGACCGGGUUUGCGCGGCUCCGAGGCCUAACCAGGCAGCCGAGCCUGCCUGCGUCCCGAGGCCGCCUUCCCGGGACCUCUGCACCCUCAGGUCCUCCGUUGGGUGGUGUUCGGGCGGCCGCCAGGCUUCCCGGCCCGCCACUCCCGCUGCCACCCAAAGGCGCUGCGUGCCGGCGGCUUGGUGGAGUUUCGUCGAGGCCCGGCAGGCUUGGGCCAGGAGAUCCAGCGGCCGGGCGGGGUCCCGGCUGAGAGAGGCCGAUGCCGCCGUCAGUCACCGAGAUGGGGGUAAUCACUUUGAUCAACAUGACGAAGGACACUUGGAAACUGAACAAGCAUCACUUGACAAGCCUACAGAAUCCAUAAGAUGGAUCAUUGCUUAAUUUCGGGUCUUAGCCAGUUAGAUUUACCUUCAGCUUUAACAAAAAAUUGGCCGUCAAAACCUGAGUCCUGUCCUCUUGCUCUCCUCCCCGGACAGCAUGAACUUCACCACUUGCUCCACCCUCUCCACCAACUACCAGUCCCUGGGCACUGUCCAGGCACCCAGCUAUGUGCCCAGCUGGUCAGCAGUGUGGCCAGUGUCUAUGCAGGCAUCAGG